AGAAGAAGAAGAAGAAAGAAAGGGACAUGGGUGGGUUAAGUUCUCCUUCAAUGGAGAACAAAGUACCAGCUGUAAAAGACUAAAAAAAAGAGUUCCUUCUUUAAAGAUUCUCACUUUCUGCUUAAAGAAGGUUUCUUCUUGUUCCUGGAUGCAAAGAAAGAGAGGGGCAGAUGCUAAAACGAGUCACUUGGAAUGGAGAAGAGAGUGAUGGUGGGCUUGGGAAAAUGAUGAAGCUGACAUAAGGAUAAUGGGUGGUGUGGAGAUAAUGGGGUCACCCAUUUGAGACUCAACAGAGACACGGAGGUUCACUGAUGAAUUUCUG
rnacentral:misc_RNA from 1 species